AAUUGGACCACGCAAAAGUGGACCACCAAAGAAUAUGGACUCUCCAGUAUACAUAAGCUUUUCUGACUGCUCGACUGGAGGUUUCGCAGGAGGCUGUGAAGGUUCUUGAGGGACAGGGACUGGGCUCUUGUCAUUGCUAGCAGAUGCAGCAUUUGGAUUUGAUGAUCCUCCUUGCAUAGAGGGCCUUAUACGAGCAUCUGAAGCUGAUACCGGAACCGAAACAUACCUUCCAGCUUCUUGGUCCCAAACAACAGAUGUUCGUUUAACAUCUCUGAGUAGAGAAGCUGCUGGGGCAGCAGCUGAAAG
rnacentral:misc_RNA from 1 species